GGAACUCUGAUGCUUGAUGCCGCGUGAGUGAAGAAGGCCUUUGGGUUGUAAAGCUCUUUUGUAGGGGAAGAUAAUGACUGUACCCUAAGAAUAAGGUCCGGCUAACUUCGUGCCAGCAGCCGCGGUAAUACGAAGGGACCUAGCGUAGUUCGGAAUUACUGGGCGUAAAGCGCGCGUAGGCCGUUGAGUUAGUUAAUUGUGAAAUCCCAAAGCUUAACUUUGGAACUGCAAUUAAAACUGCUCGACUAGAGUUUGAUAGAGGAAAGCGGAAUACAUAGUGUAGAGGUGAAAUUCGUAGAUAUUAUGUAGAACACCAGUUGCGAAGGCGGCUUUCUGGGUCAACACUGACGCUGAGGUGCGAAAGUAUGGGUAGCAAAGAGGAUUAGAUACCCUCGUAGUCCAUACUAUAAACGAUGAUUGCUAGAUGUUGGAAAUUUAUUUUCAGUAUCGCAGCUAACGCAUUAAGCAAUCCGCCUGGGGAGUACGACCGCAAGGUUAAAACUCAAAUGAAUUGACGGGGACCCGCACAAGCGGUGGAGCAUGUGGUUUAAUUCGAAGAUACGCGCAGAACCUUACCAACCCUUGACAUGUCUGUCGCGAGUUUAGGAAACUAGACUUUUCGGUUCCGGCG
rnacentral:rRNA from 1 species